rnacentral:misc_RNA from 1 species
GAUGAAGAACGUAGCGAAAUGCGAUAAGUAAUGCGAAUUGCAGAAUUCAGUGAAUCAUCGAAUCUUUGAACGCACAUUGCGCCCGCUAGUAUUCUGGCGGGCAUGCCUGUCUGAGCGUCAUUUCAACCCUCGCCCCCGGCUUUUGCUGGGAGCGGUGUUGGGGAUCGGCCGCCCGUCACUGGGAGGCCGGCCCCGAAAUAGAGUGGCGACCACGCCGUGUGCUCCUCUGCGUAGUAGUAAAUCACCUCGCAGGCGGACAGCGGUGCGGCCUGCCGUAAAACCCCCUACUCUUUCUGGUUGACCUCAGAUCAGGUAGGAAUACCCGCUGAACUUAAGCAUAUCAAUAAGCGGAGGA